rnacentral:lncRNA from 1 species
UUCUUUUUACACAUGAUCACAUAUGGACACACUAAUAUGUUAUUUGUGCACACAUAUGUGUGUUUUCAUUAUCUUAAUAUAGAAUUAUAUUUCAUAAUUCUAAUAGUAUAAAAAUGUGCCCUUCCCCUCUAUUAAAAGUAGCUAUUAUUCUUUAACCUUGAGGAAUUUUAUGAUUUCAAAGUGAUAACUAGUUUUAUUUUAAUGGAUAUAUUGAUAUACCUGUUUAAAAGUUCCUUUACCACUUUGCUAAUUUGCAGGUUGUCUUUAUAAACUGUUCAUAAAUUUUGCUUUUUGGAUUGUCUUGUCAGUAUGUUACAGCUCUUUAUAUACUAAAUGUAGUAACUU